rnacentral:rRNA from 1 species
CCUACGGGAGGCAGCAGUGAGGAAUAUUGCUCAAUGGAGGCAACCCUGAUCCAGCCACGUAGCGUGCAUGAUGAAGCCUUUCGGCGCUUUAAACUCUUUCAACGGGGAAGUAACACGGGUCUCGUGAGCCGCGUACGGUAUACCACAAAGAAGCGCCGGCUAACUACGUGCCAGCAGCCGCGGUAAAACGGAGGGGGCCAGCGUUAUCCGGAUUUAAUGGGUGUAAAGGGAGCGUAGACGGCAGCACAAGUCUGGAGUGAAAUGCCGGGGCUUAACCCCGGAACUGCUUUGGAAACUGUGGAGCUAGAGUGCAGGAGAGGUAGGUGGAAUUCCUAGUGUAGCGGUGAAAUGCGUAGAUAUUAGGAGGAACACCAGUGGCGAAGGCGGCUUACUGGACUGUAACUGACGUUGAGGCUCGAAAGCGUGGGGAGCAAACAGGAUUAGAUACCCCGGUAGUC